UCAAAUCAAGUGAUGAAUAUUUUAUUUAAAUAAGAGAAACCCGUUAGGGAACCAUUACAAGAACUGAAGCAAGAGAAGUAGUACAAACACGAAGACAAUAAACUUUCAGAAGCCGUUCUUCGCUAGAACCUGUUGGCUCUUAACUAACUCCUCAAGUUAAGCUGAUGGAUGCUGCGUUUCAGCCAACUCUUCCAGAUCCAUGAUAUUCUUGGCAAUGAUAACAAGUUCAUCCACCUCCAUCACAAAAGAAUCAACUCUAGGGGAACCCACCUCCUUCAGAUCCGCUACCACUGUCUAGGAAAAAGGAAUACCUCCUCGUAAGAAGCAUGACUCAGGGCGCGGUAGAGACUCUUUAAGAUAGAGGAAUGGUUCCCCUCAGGAAAGUCAAAGCACGAUGAUGAUCGAAUCUCAAUGGACUUACCGGGGUCUAUCCCAGAUUGAGAUACAGAACCACGUCCAGGAACAGACAAUUUUUGGUGGGGAAUAGCAUCAGCACAGUGGGACCCGUUGAUAA
rnacentral:lncRNA from 1 species